rnacentral:rRNA from 1 species
UGGGGAAUUUUGGACAAUGGGCGAAAGCCUGAUCCAGCAAUGCCGCGUGUGUGAAGAAGGCCUUCGGGUUGUAAAGCACUUUUGUCCGGAAAGAAAUCCUUGGCUCUAAUACAGUCGGGGGAUGACGGUACCGGAAGAAUAAGCACCGGCUAACUACGUGCCAGCAGCCGCGGUAAUACGUAGGGUGCAAGCGUUAAUCGGAAUUACUGGGCGUAAAGCGUGCGCAGGCGGUUUGCUAAGGCCGAUGUGAAAUCCCCGGGCUCAACCUGGGAACUGCAUUGGUGACUGGCAGGCUAGAGUAUGGCAGAGGGGGGUAGAAUUCCACGUGUAGCAGUGAAAUGCGUAGAGAUGUGGAGGAAUACCGAUGGCGAAGGCAGCCCCCUGGACCAAUACUGACGCUCAUGCACGAAAGCGUGGGGAGCAAACAGGAUUAGAUACCCUGGUAGUCCACGCCCUAAACGAUGUCAACUAGUUGUUGGGGAUUCAUUUCCUUAGUAACGUAGCUAACGCGUGAAGUUGACCGCCU